GACGAAGGUGGCAAGCGUUGUUCGGAAUCACUGGGCUUAAAGAGCACGUAGGCGGACCGUUAAGCGCUUUGUGAAAGCCCCCGGCUCAACCGGGGAAUUGCUUGGCGAACUGGCGGUCUUGAGGCAGGUAGGGGCGUGGAGAACUCUUGGUGGAGCGGUGAAAUGCGUAGAUAUCAAGAGGAAUGCCGGAGGUGAAGACGCCGCGCUGGGCCUGUCCUGACGCUGAGGUGCGAAAGCCAGGGGAGCAAACGGG
rnacentral:rRNA from 1 species